rnacentral:rRNA from 1 species
GAUGAACGCUGGCGGCGUGCCUAAUACAUGCAAGUCGAGCGAACAGACGAGGAGCUUGCUCCUCUGACGUUAGCGGCGGACGGGUGAGUAACACGUGGAUAACCUACCUAUAAGACUGGGAUAACUUCGGGAAACCGGAGCUAAUACCGGAUAAUAUAUUGAACCGCAUGGUUCAAUAGUGAAAGACGGUUUUGCUGUCACUUAUAGAUGGAUCCGCGCCACAUUAGCUAGUUGGUAAGGUAACGGCUUACCAAGGCAACGAUGCGUAGCCGACCUGAGAGGGUGAUCGGCCACACUGGAACUGAGACACGGUCCAGACUCCUACGGGAGGCAGCUGUAGGGAAUCUUCCGCAAUGGGCGAAAGCCUGACGGAGCAACGCCGCGUGAGUGAUGAAGGUCUUCGGAUCGUAAAACUCUGUUAUUAGGGAAGAACAAAUGUGUAAGUAACUAUGCACGUCUUGACGGUACCUAAUCAGAAAGCCACGGCUAACUACGUG